rnacentral:lncRNA from 1 species
GAGGGGAGAAAAAAGAAGAAAAGGAGGAGAGAAAAAAGAAGAAAGGAAGAGAGAGAAAGAGAAAGAGGAGAAGAGAAGAGGAGGAAGGGAGAGGGAGAAAGAGAAGAGGAGGGGAUGAGAGCCUUUUUUUUUGAAAAUUUCAUCAUUUUUCUUAGAAAUUUUGUGCAAGAAAUAUUGAUAGCAUAAAAUACACACAUAUAUGAUAUACGUAGGUGUCUGAGUUUAACGUCAAGCUUGGAUGUUCGCUGCCUCCCCUGCUCAUUUCGUCUCCAGCUCGCUGCCCCGAAGGAGGUGAAAUCCUUUUUUUUUCUUUCUUUCUUUCUUCUUUUUAGAUGCUGUCAUUCAGCCUUGCUAAUUUAUUUUUUGUUUUCUUUUUUGUGUGACAUCGAUUCGAGUCCACUUUGGACUCCAUUCUCGCAUUCCUCCGAGUUGCACAAAUCCUUGAGUCAGCCCUUUUCAAAAGUCUAGAAGGCUAAAACUGAUUUUCAGGUCGAAAACAGCAGAAAUGCAUUGCUGAAAAGUGAUUCUGGUUCGUCAGAACCUGGAAAGCUGCUGGAAAAUUAUAUUAUAGGUGUUACAGAAAGUUGUAUACCAGCUAUAUACACAAUGUAAACACUGAUAUACAGUACAAAAGACGUACAGGAGGCCACAUUCAAAAUCUGGGUUGAUAGCAGUGAAAAUACGCUGCUGAAAAGGAACUUUCAACUUCUGAAAGUUGGAAAACAGGCCGAUAUACAUCAUGUAUACACUAAUAUACAGGGACGAUAUACCUUAGAUAUGUGUAAAAAAUGUGAAUUGCAGGUUAACGUACAGGGACACCUAUUUUAGAUAAAAUGCAGGAAUAGGCAAUGAAUACAUGCAGAGGAUACAACCUGUAUACAUUGGUAUACAUCUUUUGGGUGACAAUAUACAAUUGUUAAACAGGUUAAAAUUGUACAGGUACAAAUACACAGAAGCGAUAUGAAUAAUACAGGGGAAAUAGCUGAAAAUAUAUAUUCAAACAAAUGCAGGGCUCAAAAGUCUAAAAAUGGAUUGGAUAUACACUGUAUACAGUAGUAUACAUCUUGUGUAUACUUCUAGUUUGUUACAUGAAAUGGGCCAGGAUCCUUUUCAGCAAAGAUUUUUGACAGGCCCAAAGACAAAUUUGUUUUGCAGGAGCCCAAUUGAAUGAAUUUGGGCAAUCAAGCCCAAGUUUAAAUAUUAUUUUCCUCUUUCUUUAUUGUUUGUUUGAGUUAAUUAAUUUUUGGUAGAAUUUUUAUAAUCUCCUAAAGGGUAGCCAUUUUUCAUUAUUUUAAAUUUUACUAUUUUAUUUACUUAUUUUGUUUUAUUUACUUUUAUCACCAUAUAGUUUUCCUUAAAUUAAUUCCCUCUAAAAUAUCUCCCUUUAGAAAUAAAAUAAAAAUAAAAAAUGAAAUAAAAAACUAUUAAAAUGAAUUUUCUCUUUACUUAAAUAAAAAAUUUUAUUUUAAAAGUCAUUUAGUCAAAUCGCCGGUCAACCACGAGUUAGCGGGCAUCCCGAGGGCCUAACACCUUCUCGGGAUGUACAUUGAACUUCCAACCAUUUUUCAAUUGAUUUUAUCUGUUUUUAAAUCUUUUGAAAUUUUUCUUGAUUUUAUCAAAGAUCAAGUGGCGACUCCGUGAUUUGAAAAGUUGAUUUUUCUUAAAUAAUAAGAUUAAUUGAUUUUUUCAGAACAUAGUCAAUUUCUCCCAUUUUUAAACACAAUAGUAGUAUUUUUAAAAUAAAACAAGGACCUAUUGAAUUUAAUUUCGAAAAUGAAGUAGAUCAUGAGACUUUAAAUAGACGUUAUACUAAUUUUGAGGAAGAAUUAGAAGAAGAAGUAGAAUUUAAAUGAGAAAGAUGAAGAGGCCCCUACCCCUACUAGUCUGGUUACCGAAUUACCGGAACAAAAUGAAGUCCCCCUUUACUUACUUUUUUCAAAUGUCGCCGCCGCACGUGUUAAAAGAUCUUUAAUAUGAAAUUUUUUUUAUACAAAAUGAGGCAAAAACUACUGUUACUUGCAUUAAAUGUAAAUUGGUCAUGAAACAUGUAACUACGGGUACAUAAGGGGGAACGAGACGACUAAGAACACUUUACGAAAGUGUAAUAAAGAAUUUGCUCGCCUAGAUGAUAUAUAAAGAGCUAAUAGAAAUAAAACACCCAUACCCGAAAGUUUUAUGGGAGUUGGAGCUUCUAGUAUGGUUCAAGGUGUAUUAAAUAUGUCUAAUCCGGCUAGUCAAAGCACACAUCACACGUAUAGUAAAGAAAAAGAUCGUAGAGAAUUUACUAAAAUGGUUGUUGUUUGUGGUUUGCGCUUUUCAUUCCCUUCACAUCCUGAUUUUGUUCAUUAUAUUCAAGAAUUAUAUAACCUAGAUUAUGAAAGUAUUCCAAGAAAUACAAUUAAAAGUGAUCUUUUUUAAAUAUCAAAAAGAAUAUUGUCAUUUUCUUUGUUGUUUAUUUGCUUAUUAUGAUGGUAGAUUAUCUAUUACUUCUUAUACGAUACGUAGUCAUAAUGGUAACGAUUAUUUUACACUUACCAUCCAUUGAUUGACCAUGAAUGGAACAUGCAAAAACGAAUAUUAGCGUAUAAAUAUGUUGAAGAAACUAAAAUCGGUUCUUAUAUAGCAUCAAAAGUAGACUCUAUUUUACAAUAUUAUGGAAUAUGUGAUAAAAUAAUGAGUGUCACUUUAGAUAAUGCUUCUAAGAAUUUAAGAGCAGUUGAUUAUUUAAAAAGUAGACUUUGUCCAAUUGAUAAUGAUUCUUUUCAUAUUAAGUGUGCUGCACGAUAAUUUAAUAGUAAAAGAUGGUAUUUCUCAAUUUGGAGUUUCUUGUGAAAAAAUUAGACUUGCUUGUAAUUGGAUUUUUAAAGUUAAAGUAAAAGGUAGAGUUACAGAAUUUAAAAAUUAUUGUAAUGAAUGUGGACUUGCAUAUAGAAAAGUUCCAAAAGAAGUAUGCACUAGAUGUAAUAUUUUAUUUGAAAUGCUUCAAGUUGCUUAUAUUUAUCAAGAGGCGAUACAAUUAGUUUUUAAUGCUCAUAAUGCACACCCAAGUUUAAGAAUUGACUUUGAAGAUUGGGAAAGUACAAAAGAACUUGUUGAAUUUUUAAGUCUUUUUAAUUAAACAACAAAUGCAUGUUUUGGUUAAUAUUAUCCAACUGUUUCUUCUGUUUUUAAUAAAUAUCUGUGCUAUUUCAUCUGAAUUUGCAAAUUUUUAUAAAAAGAUCAAUUUAAAGAUUCGCUUGCUUUUAUGAUUGAAAAUUCAAAAAAUAUUUUUCCAUGUUCCUCAAAUAUAUUUGAGUGCUACUACUUUCAACCCAAAUUAUAAAUUAAGAGGUGUUGAAAGAAUGGUUGAAAAGAUUUAUGUAAAUUUAGAAAUUAAAGAUGAUGAAACUUCUAGUGUUGAAGAAUGUAAAAGUAGCAUUUAUAUAAAAGUUAGAGAUUUACAUAAUGCAUAUAAAGUUAUGGAAAUAAAUAUUCCAAUAGUUAAACCUCCAUCUUCUAAGCCUAAAAGUGAUGAUACGGAUGAUUGGAUGGAUGGAUAUCUUGAGCUUGAAUCUACUGCUAAUAAUGAUUUUGAUUUGUAUUUCAAUCAGGCAUGAGAAAAGAUUAGGCAUGAAGAAGGACAACUUCAACCUCCAAUAUUAGUAUGGUGGAAGAAUCGUGAAAAUCAAUUUCCGACCAUUACUAGGAUUGUUUGAGAUAUGCUAGCGAUUCAAGCAUCAUCGGUCGCUUCGGAUAAGCCUUUAGGCUCGGGGUGUGACAGAUCAUGAUAAGGCUUUGCAUAUUGUUCCCCACGUCAUUGUCGAGGGUCCAAUUAAUAUUUGAGAAAAAAAUGCCCAAAAUCGCAUCAUCAAAAAUUCAUUGACUAGCUCACACAAAACAAACUCUUGUUGAUUAUCCCCUAAAUGCUAAAAAAGGGCGUGGAUCAUGAUGAGGUUAUAUGUAUUGUUCCCUCAAGUCAUUACGGAGAGUCAUGUAAGGGUUUUGAAUAAAAAAGUGUCUGAAAACCAUAACAUCAGAAAAUUUAUUGAUUAACAAACAUGAAAAACUGAAAAAAUCACCUAAUUUUUAUUGAGCGGCCCUUAAAUGCUAAAAGAAUUACAUGAAUCAUAGUGAAGCUAUACAUAUUGUUCUCUCAAGUUAUUACGGAUGGUUCCAUCAAAGUUUUUUUUUUUUUAAAUGGUUGAAAAUCAUAUCACCAUUAAAACUCAUUGACCACACACGAAAAACUAAAAAAAAAUCGCCUAAUACCUAAUGAGUGACCACUAAAUGCUAAAAAAUGGCAUGAUCAUGGUAAGACUAUAUGUUCUGUUCCCCAAGUCAUUAUGGAGGAUCAUGUAAAAGUUUUAGAAAAAAAGUACUCAAAAAUCACAUUACUAAAUAUUACAUUGACUAACAUACAUGAAAAAACUGAGAAACAUAUUUAAUUCAGUUGCCCUGAAUUGCUAAUCCUAUACACUUCCUACACUUGUAACGAACCUUAACACACAUGAACAAAUAGGACAUUACUUGGUUCAAAGUUGAUACUCUUACGGCGAAAGGUGUGGAUCUUUAGCAUAGAAUUCAUGGGGCAUUACAAUUAAUUAGUAAUACUAAUUUUAAUAACACUAAAUCAUAUUAGUCUCUAUAGGUAUAAUAUAUAACUCUGGAGUCACUAUCUGUAUUUGGGAUCAACAGUUACAAAGGUACGAGUAAAGUCUCUGAUCCGACAAACAAUCCGUAUAUCCUACCUUCCCGAAAUUUCAUGUAUAAAAUUAUACUAAAAUAUUAUUUUUCUUGUAUUAUCCGAUUGAAAAUUAUGCGAAUUCAACAUAAAACUCUAAAAAAAGAAAAUAAUGAAAAUUACAACUUAAAAGAGUGUCUAAGUUGGAAUCAUGGUAUUACAUAAAGUUGAGGACAAUAUAAGCAAGCAAACAAGUACUCUAGCUAUCAAUUUACUUUGGACUACUAUAUGAUAAAUAUUUCAACCCCCCUCCUCCCCCACCAAAAAAAAAUUAAAAUAACAAGUUGAAGGACUCAAAAAAAAAAAAAAAAAAACUCAAAACCAACCUCAAUCAUACAUUCAUAUCCUCUUCCUACCCCCAUCUUGGAUGAGAUAAGAUUAACGAGGUGCUUACACGUGUCACCUCUAUUGUGGUGACUUAAAAAAAAUUCCAACCUUUCAUAUGUAGAUAUUAAGUAAUUGUAUAAUGUUAUCAAGAACCACAUAACAUAUCAAAAACCUUAUCAUUUCAUUAUAUAAAAGGAUAGUGGACAUCAAAAGGUUCAUAUUGAACCAAAAAAAGAGAGAAGAAGCAAUAUGGCUUCCUCUGUCAUUUCUUCAGCAGCUGUUGCCACACGCAGCAAUGUUACACAAGCUAGCAUGGUUGCACCUUUCACUGGUCUCAAAUCUUCAGCCACUUUCCCUGUUACAAAGAAGCAAAACCUUGACAUCACUUCCAUUGCUAGCAAUGGUGGAAGAGUUAGCUGCAUGCAGGUAACUCACUCAUCGGUUUUCCGAAAUUGAUAUUUUCUUAGUAUGUUGUAACAUGUAAUCUGUCUUAUUUCUCGAUUCAAUUAUCUAAGGGUUAUAUGUAUGUUAGCUACUCUCUCUGGCUUAAUUUAUGUGACGGUAGUACUAUUUUAUUUUAGUUAGUAUAAAAAAGAGUGAUUUACUUUGUUUCAGUUUGUUUGUUUAAUCUUAAUUUAACAUAACUUUUAAGAAAAUUAAAAAGUCUUUUGAAUUUGUAGUUUUAAAUUAAAGUUACGUAGAAUGUAUUAAAAUAUCCUACAUUUUGUGAUUUCAAACAUGUUAACUGUCACGUGAAAAAUUAGAAUUAGAUAAUUAUCAAAAAAAAAAAAAGAGACUUUAGAAGAGUAAUAUAAACAAAUUGAAACAUGAGUAUAUGUAGUUACUGACCUCUGAUCUAGUUUAUGCCAUUAUUAUUUUUCUUUUUAAGUCUGUUUUAAAAGAAUGACAUAUUUUUAUAUUUAAUAGCAGUAUUGAUUUAAGUUUGAAAAAAAUUUCUAUUUUAUCUUUAAUGAGAUGAUUUAUAAUUACAUAAGUAUUUAUAUUAUCUUAGACCAUAAACUACGAAAAUCUCUGUUUAUUCUUAAAAUUCCAUUUACCAUUAAGUACCUCCACAUAAGAAUUAAAAAAAGAGAGUAUCUUUCAAAUUAUCUGAUAAUUCAUAGAAGUUAAAAGAUCCAAUUGCUUAACUUAUCUUUGAUUAUAUUAAACACAUGAAAAGUGUAUCCUACGUAUAAUCUCUACGUUCAAAAUUAAAGACAAAUUUAAGAUCUAGAAUUGAUGAACUCAAAAUAUCUCUAUCUUAUUAUUAUUAUGUAUAUAUACAACUUAAUUUUUCGAAAUGUUGAUGAAUGUAUGUUAAAUCCUUUACAAUAGUGCAUUUUUAGAUAAUUCGAUAAGAGUGUAACAAUAUUUUCAGAAAGUCGAUAACUUUUUUUUCUUUUUUUUUUUUGGAUAUGUGUAUAGGUGUGGCCACCAAUUAACAUGAAGAAGUACGAGACACUCUCAUACCUUCCUGAUUUGUCUGACGAGCAAUUGCUUAGUGAAAUUGAGUACCUUUUGAAAAAUGGAUGGGUUCCUUGCUUGGAAUUUGAGACUGAGGUCAAUAUCAUAUUUACUUUUGUUUUAUCGAAAAAUGAUAUAUUUUUAUAUUUAGAUACGAUUUAUAUUUAACACUUCAAUGUUUUUUUUAUGUGUAGCACGGAUUUGUCUACCGUGAGAACAACAAGUCACCAGGAUA